rnacentral:tRNA from 1 species
GGCCCAUUCGUCUAGUGGCCUAGGACACCGCCCUCUCACGGCGGCGGCACGGGUUCGAAUCCCGUAUGGGCCUCCU